rnacentral:rRNA from 1 species
CCUACGGGAGGCAGCAGUGGGGAAUAUUGCACAAUGGGGGAAACCCUGAUGCAGCGACGCCGCGUGAGUGAAGAAGUAAUUCGUUAUGUAAAGCUCUAUCAGCAGGGAAGAAAAUGACGGUACCUGAGUAAGAAGCCCCGGCUAACUACGUGCCAGCAGCCGCGGUAAUACGGGGGGUGCAAGCGUUGUCCGGAAUCAUUGGGCGUAAAGAGUUCGUAGGUGGCACGUUAAGUCUGGUGUGAAAGGCGGAAGCUCAACUUCCGUAGGGCACUGGAUACUGGCGAGCUUGAAUGCGGUAGAGGUAAAGGGAAUUCCUGGUGUAGCGGUGAAAUGCGUAGAUAUCAGGAGGAACAUCGGUGGCGUAAGCGCUUUACUGGGCCGUAAUUGACGCUGAGGAACGAAAGCCGGGGUAGCAAAUGGGAUUAGAUACCCCUGUAGUC